AAUGACACAUUUGCCCAAGAAUAUCAAAAAUUCAAAUCUAAACAGGAAGUUCUGUGAGAGCAUGAUGGAGUUAUUUCACUACAAAGAAGUUUAUUUAUAUAGCUCUUUGUUUUCUAUGUGCAGUUUAUAUUUUACAUGGAGGUUUAAGAGUGAUGAAAAUAAUACAAAUGGUAUAGCACCAUAUGUCAUGUAUGUAUAUAGGUAUGGCACACAUGAAUGAAUUGGGACCUUAUCAACGUAUUGUGUUCAAAGAAAACCUAACGAAUCCAGCAGUUCAAAAACAUGUUUUGCAGUGAGGCGAAUGGUGACAAUGGCUUUGUGGCAGUUAGUGAAAAACUGUGGCAUUUUACACUGAUGAUGGCUACAAUUUACAGAAAAUUUCUCAACCAAUAGUGACAUUCAAUUGAAAGUAAUAGCAUAUCUUACACCGACUAUACAUCAGAAUGUUGUUGAAAAAAGCCAUGGCAAAAAGUGGAAAAUACUGAUCAAUAUACUUCAAUGACUUUGGAACUGAGUAGAAAAUGGUGACAUUUUAGCACCAUAUUGUGUGUAUACUUUUUCUUGCAUCCGCACAGUCCGGCCAGGAUCCAUGCUGUUCACUAAUGGUUUCUAUGGUUGCAAUAGCAUUUGAAAGCGAGCAGCAUGGAUUCUGACCAAAUCAAGCUGAUGCGCAGGCUGGUCUGUAGCCAUGCUGAUCGCAAAGCCUCUAUGUUGGUUUUCUCCUGGCACGGCUCAUUUAUAAAUUCAUGUAUGUAAAUAGUGUUUUGCUUAUGGUAUUUUGUCAGCACAGGUAAUGAAAUACUAAAAAAACAUAAAAUAUUUUGUUAGUGUUUUGUUCAAAUUUGUGACCUUGCUCUUUUGCAUAUCAUAUGUUUUGUUGGUAUUUUGUUAGCAGUGUUUUGUUAGUGUUUUCUUUAGCACAUAUAAUGAAACACUAAUAAAACAUUAAGUAUUCUGUUAGCGUUUUGUUUAAGCCUAACUUGCAUAUCAUGUUUUGUUGGUAUUUCGUUAGCAAUGUUUUGUUAGUGUUUUGUUAGUGUUUUGUUACCUCAUUUGCAUGUCAUUUGCUAUACUAAUAAAACAUCAUCAAAACACAGUAUAGUAUUAGUGUUUUGUUUAAGUGUU